CCUACGGGUGGCAGCAGUAGGGAAUCUUGGACAAUGGACGCAAGUCUGAUGCAGCAACGCCGCGUGAGGGAAGAAGGCUUUCGGGUUGUAAACCUCUUUUGGUAGGGAAGAAAGGUAGACGUAGUAACUCGCCUUUGUUAGACCGUACUUACUUAGAAAGUCACGGCUAACUACGUGCCAGCAGCCGCGGUAAUACGUUGGGGGCAAGCGUUGUCCGGAUUUAUUGGGCGUAAAGCGAGUGCAGGCGGUUUAAUAAGUCUGAUGUGAAAGCAUUGGGCUCAACCGGUGAAUUGCAUUUGAAACUGUUGAUCUUGAGUGCAGGAGAGGAGAGCGGAAUUCGUUGUGUAGCGGUGAAAUGCGUAGAUAUAAGGAAGAACACCAGUGGCGAAGGCGGCUCUCUGGACUGCAACUGACGCUGAGGCUCGAAAGCGUGGGUAGCGAACAGGAUUAGAUACCCGGGUAGUC
rnacentral:rRNA from 1 species